CCUCCUGGUUGGCCUCAUCUUCAAGCUGCCACUCUCAGCUGAUCCCUAUCCUCUACCGCUCUCUCUCUCCCUUCCGAUAUUUUGCACCGUCGUGCUCAGGUUUCUGGUGUUUUCUCCAUUGCGUUCAUCUCCCUCUGUGCUCCUCCCUGUCGCGCCCUCCCUGGUGGACACGUGCAGCUCCCUCUGCCUUCCAUGAGUUUUUUGAACCAAGAUAUCACUGAGACUGGACUUUAAAAAAUAGUAUCCUGAACACCGUAAUUGAAGUUUUAGUAUUAUAAACCGUUUAGCUUUGGUUUUUUCUAUCGGACUGUGAUUUAGCCAAUGUUCAGCUACUAGUACAAGCUGUUACGGCAAUCCAUCUCACUGCCCCGUUCUUAGAACGAAUAUGUGCUGGAGCUCCUCUCGUGACGCUCUUCUCUCCCGGCGCUGGAGCUCCCCUAUCAAGUCUUGUCCGACGGCGCUCCGGGGCGCUCCUCUCCCUGGUCCCGGCGGUGCUCCUCUUCCUGAUGUUGAUGAUUACUCGGCCCAGCCAGCAGUGCUUCCCCGCCAGCAGUGCUUCCCCGCCAGUGCUUCCUCGCUCCUGGCUGUGCUUCCCCGCGACCGGUUAUCGUUCCCUGAGACGCUCGGUCUCGCUCCCGACCUCAACAAUGGAGACCCCGCCAGGAGCGAUGACGUCGGCACCGGCUGUUGUCAUCCCCGAUGACAACCAUGGUUCGUUCUUAGUUGAACAGUUACCUUGUUGUUGUGCUAAACCCUAUACAUUAUUCAUUACUACACAUUGUGUCAGAUGCGUAUAGGUCCGUCACUAUUGAAGAUGUUGACCACUCAUUGAUUAAGGCACCAACAACGCUUGAGGAGAUCGGUGCUCUGCCUCCUAUGGAUGUUGUAAAGCUUCGUUAAUGGUCAAUGGCCAAUGAGAGUGUUAUGUACCCAAUGAGAGUGUUAUGUACCUUAAACUUGUAUUUCUAAGUACUAUAAGUGAACUUUCAGUGAACUUGUUGUUUUCAGUGAGCUUUCAGUGAACUGUUAACCGGUAUUAGAAUCAAUGAACUUUCAUUGAACUGUGAACUAGGCUAUUGUUGUUUCCAUAUGUUCACGAUGUGCUUCUUGCAAUGGUUCCAUAUUUUCUUUAACAACUGUUUGAUGAAUUGUUCAGGAACUUCUCUCCCUCGCUUGGCUACCUGUACAAGUUAAAAAUUCUGAAAAUUGCAGCCCUCUGUGAACUACAGGCGAGGUGCUAUACCAGAAAAGAAAAUGUUUGUGUUUUUAACCACACCGUUUCUCCCUAGGUGCAAAUAUGGUACAAACUGGCAUAUAAGGAGCAAAUUUAAUACGUUAGAGCGUAUAGCAAACUGGGAUCCCCAAGAUUAGUCCUUUUGAGCCUCUCAGCCAUCUUCUAGUGCCUCAUUAUGCAACACAACUUCAACAGAACAGAGCCCAAGAUUGAGUCCCAAUAGCCAUCUGGGGGAGGCUGUUAAGCAACUUGAGUUUCAGUUACCUUGUG
rnacentral:lncRNA from 1 species